CGAGUGGCUAAUACCGCAUGUGUCCGUCUUGUCGCAUGGCGAGACGGGCAAAGGUGGGGACCCUUCGGGGCCUGCCGCUCGAGGAGGAGCCCGCGUCCCAUUAGCUUGUUGGCGGGGUAACGGCCCACCAAGGCGACGAUGGGUAGCCGAUCUGAGAGGAUGACCGGCCACACUGGGACUGAGAUACGGCCCAGACUCCUACGGGAGGCAGCAGUCGAGAGGCUUCGGCAAUGGGGGAAACCCUGACCGAGCGACGCCGCGUGCGGGAUGAAGGCUUUCGGGUUGUAAACCGCUGUCAGGAGGGAAGAAUCCCCUCGGGUCAAUACCCCGAGGGUUGACGGUACCUCCAAAGGAAGCUCCGGCUAACUCCGUGCCAGCAGCCGCGGUAAUACGGGGGGAGCAAACGUUGUUCGGAUUCACUGGGCGUAAAGGGCGUGUAGGCGGUCUGGUAAGUCAGGGGUGAAAUCCCGCGGCUCAACCGUGGAGUUGCCCUUGAAACUGCCGGACUUGAGGCCGUGAGAGGAGACUGGAAUUCCCAGUGUAGCGGUGAAAUGCAUAGAUAUUGGGAAGAACACCAGUGGCGAAGGCGAGUCUCUGGCACGGUUCUGACGCUGAGGCGCGAAAGCUAGGGGAGCAAACGGGAUUAGAUACCCCGGUAGUCCUAGCCGUAAACGAUGGACACUAAGUGUCGGCCGAUCGACCCGGUCGGCGCUGAAGCUAACGCGUUAAGUGUCCCGCCUGGGGAGCACGGCCGCAAGGUUGAAACUCAAAGGAAUUGACGGGGGCCCGCACAAGCGGUGGAGCAUGUGGUUUAAUUCGACGCAACGCGAAGGACCUUACCCAGGCUUGACAUCCUCGGGACAGCCCCAGAGAUGGGGUCUUCCUUCGGGAUCCGAGGACAGGUGCUGCAUGGCUGUCGUCAGCUCGUGUCGUGAGAUGUUGGGUUAAGUCCCGCAACGAGCGCAACCCUUACCCUUAGUUGCCAGCGGUUCGGCCGGGCCCUCUAAGGGGACUGCCCCGGAAAACGGAGAGGAAGGUGGGGAUGACGUCAAGUCCUCAUGGCCCUUACGCCUGGGGCUACACACGUGCUACAAUGGUCGGUACAAAGGGUUGCAAUGCCGCGAGGUGGAGCCAAUCCCAAAAAGCCGGCCUCAGUUCGGAUUGGAGUCUGCAACUCGACUCCAUGAAGUUGGAAUCGCUAGUAAUCGCGGAUCAGCACGCCGCGGUGAAUACGUUCCCGGGCCUUGUACACACCGCCCGUCAAGUCAGCCGAGUUGAGUGCUCCCUAAGAGCUUGAUCCGACCCGAAAGGGAGGAAGGGCUCCAAGGAGUGCUUAGUGAGGGGGACUAAGUCGUAACAAGGUA
rnacentral:rRNA from 1 species